GCAGGCUCUCAGCUUUGAUUAGCAUAUAUUAAGGGCGCAGAAUGAGAAAGGUGUCCGGCCUCCUGUGGGCAUGUGGACAUAAACGCCCUCCUGCCCUCCAGAAACCAAGCACUGAGGCAAGAGGAAGGGCCUGACGGGUUGACUUGUCACUCCAGGCUUUUCUCAUCUCUGUCCCUUCUAGGCCGACGCCUGUCAGGCCAGGCCGGGGCCACAAAUGGACCGGGGGGGGGGGGGCUGGAAAACCCCCCUCCAUGGGUAUGUGGGCGAUUUUACUUCGAUUUCGCGGACUGUUUCUCCAACCUCCUCAAGAAUGGUCUGCAGUGGACACAGCUGUGUCAAAUCAAGUUCAAGUCCUUUCUCUAAAUAGCCUUUUGUGGCCAUCUGGAUAUCUCUUCCUUAGGAUGGAGAGCAUCUGGUAUUAUUAUGAAUUGUUAUUAUUAAUAUCAAUAAUAAGAGUCUGCCUUUAUUGAGUGUUCACCAUGCCACCCACUUAACAUAUAGCAUCUCAUUUAAUCUUCAUAACACCCCCAAGAGAUGGAUGUUCUUCUGUAGGUGAGGAAACUGGGGUGCAGAGAGGUGAAGCAGCACGUCCAUGCUGACCCUACGGGUGGAGGCCCCUUCUUAAAUGUGUUGCCCCUUCUCUUCUCUCCUGAGCAUCUAGGACAAACUAGACCCACAAAGAAUCUUCACUCAGGAGGCACUUCUUCGGCCAAGGGCACCUCUCACCUGUGAGCUCUUUUCAGCGUAGGAAGGAUUCCGGAUUCUCUGUGGACCCCAUGGCCUCUGUAGCCCUCCCUGAACAGCCAGGACCCUCUAUCUGUGGAGGUCCCGGCCAUCCCGUUACUUGCUUGCCUGUGACAAAUAUGGGGCUGGCACUUCAGCAGGGAGAAGGAGCAGCAGGAGUUGAUCAAUUCCUAAGCAACAAAGAUCCUGUUUUCAUGCAAACGUCCUCGGCAUUAAAACAAAAACAAAUUCUUCCCGGGGCGCGUCCUGGAUGCCAAGUCUCCUUGCAAGACACAUUUUUAAGCGGGGUUCUGCGCCUGCGUGAGAGACUAACGGGGAAUGGGAGGAGAGCUGUGUGCCAGGUGUCAGGAGGCAAUGCAGGACCUUAAGGUGGCAUGGCAACAAGUGCCUUGAGUUCCGAGCAGGUAGGGACCACCGAGGGCUUCCUGGAGGAGGGAGUUAUUCCGAUUCAACUCAGGGGUCUCCUGACUGAUGGUGUUGGCCUGAUCUUGCAGGACCUGGGUGCCCACCAACACCAGCACUACUGGAACAUCGCCAGGGUCACUGGGCUAGCCCAACAGUUACAGAAACAUCCACAGGGCAUCUGGCCUCCAGCUGGCUCCAGCCGUUUUGUCCUUUAUGAACACGGGGGUUCAAAGGCAACAAACACUGUUAACGGCUCAAGGGCAGGGCCACACAAUUUGUUUUUGGCAAAUAACUAGCAAUACCAGGACUGCAGCAUUUUAGUGCUGCAAGAUCACCUGCUACCACCCCCUUACCGCUGAUGCCUUGCCCAAGGCUCCCGGUCCAGCCAAGACUCCAGCUCAAACCUCUUUUCUCCUGCUCUCUGAGACCUUCUGUGCAGCCUCCUUUUCUCACACUGUGGAGGUAUUCUCUGGCUUCAGCACAUGCCCAGAAGCACUACUGGGCUGGAUACUGGGAGACACGGAGCACACAGCACCAGGCUGCGGUCUUCUCAAGCUAGCCUGCGAGCAAUUCCAGGGCAGGAGGAGCGCCUUCCCAGUGCAUCUCUCUUCCCAGCGCCUACCACAGCAAGGGGGACGGGGCAGGCAAAGGUCUGGUGCUGGGCACAGUAAACGGGCAAGUCUGGCAGGAUUAAAGGGCCCAUAAAGGGGCUUUGUGGCAAGAAUCAGCUAAUUAGAGUGGAAAGAGCAUGGACUUGGGGUAGAAAAGAUGUGGGCUGGCAUCCAACACUGUCACCAUGUCCGGGGAUUGAGAGGGUUCCCCAUUAUCCAUGUUCUCUUCCUGCCAAGCAUGCAGCGGGACUCCACUUCCCAGUCUUCCUUGCAGUUAGGAUGGUCAUGUGGCUACACUCUGGCCAGUGGACUGAAAGCGGAAGUAAUGUGGGGCAAUUUCAGGCCCAGCCCCUGAAAACCUCCCACAUGUGGGUCUUCCAUCUACCAAUUGACCCAGAGUGCUCCCAGGACCGGGUUCCCGAAUCCCUGUGUGGAAGACCACCUGCCAAACAUCUGCACUGAAUCGUGUUCGCAGGAAAUAAACUCCUAAAGCGUUACGCUAUUAAAAUUUGGGGGUUACUGCUGUUAGCCGAACCUAAUACAGUCUCUUACUAGCCAUGUGGCUUUGGAUAAGUUUCUUAACCUCCUGAAGCUCCAAUUUCCUCAUCUGUAAAAUGAGAAUUUAAAAAACCUUCCUGAGAAUGACUGGGCUAACAUUUGUGAAGAUCUCACAAUCAAGGCUGCAUUAUGACUUUUGUGAGCCCUAUACAUUUUUGCCUUUAUGGGUCCCUUCCUGCAUUAAAU